AGCGAACGCUGGCGGCAGGCUUAACACAUGCAAGUCGAGCGGGCACUUUCGGGUGUCAGCGGCGGACGGGUGAGUAACGCGUGGGAACGUGCCCUCUGGUUCGAAAUAACUCAGGGAAACUUGAGCUAAUACCGGAUACGCCCUUUUGGGGAAAGGCUUGCUGCCGGAGGAUCGGCCCGCGUCUGAUUAGCUAGUUGGUGAGGUAACGGCUCACCAAGGCGACGAUCAGUAGCUGGUCUGAGAGGAUGAUCAGCCACACUGGGACUGAGACACGGCCCAGACUCCUACGGGAGGCAGCAGUGGGGAAUAUUGGACAAUGGGCGCAAGCCUGAUCCAGCCAUGCCGCGUGAGUGAUGAAGGCCUUAGGGUUGUAAAGCUCUUUUAUCCGGGACGAUAAUGACGGUACCGGAGGAAUAAGCCCCGGCUAACUUCGUG
rnacentral:rRNA from 1 species